AGUUAAUAAGCUUUUAGAAGCCAAUGUUUUGAAAACAUUAAAAAAAAGUUUAAAUCUUUUAUUAACUU
rnacentral:tRNA from 1 species